UUUUUUAAUUGAAAGCUUGUAUGAAUGGUUGGACAAAAUAUUAACUGUCUCAUAAAAAAGAAUUGAAUUUUAUUUUUUAGUAAAAAAGCUAAAAUAUUUUUAUAGGACGAGAAGACCCUAUAGAUCUUUAUAUUUUUAUAUUAUAAAUUAUAAAGAAUUAUUAAAUUUUUAAUUAAAAAAAAUAUUUUAUUGGGGUGAUAGUAAAAUUUAAUAAACUUUUAUUUAUUUAUAACAUAAAUUAAUGAUUUUAUGAUCCAUUAUUAAUGAUUAAAAAAUUAAGUUACCUUAGGGAUAACAGCGUAAUAUUUUUAAAGAGUUCAUAUCGAUAAAAAUGUUUGC
rnacentral:rRNA from 1 species